rnacentral:rRNA from 1 species
GUGUCGGAUACUGGGCGUAAGCGCGCGUAGGCGGCUUGUUAAGUGAGAAGUGAAAUCCCCAGGGCUCAACCCGGGAACUGCUUUUCAUACUGGCAAGCUAGAGGGAGGUAGAGGUGAAUGGAAUUCCCGGUGUAGCGGUGACAUGCAUAGAUAUCGGGAGGAACACCAGCAGCGAAGGCGGUUCACUGGACCUCUCCUGACGCUAAGGCGCGAAAGCGUGGGUAGCAAACAGGAUUAGAUACCCUGAUAGUCCACGCCCUAAACGAUGGAUACUAGACGUGAGAGGUAUCGACCCCUCUCGUGUCGCAGCUAACGCAUUAAGUAUCCCGCCUGGGGAGUACGGCCGCAAGGUUGAAACUCGAAUGAAUUGACGGGUCCCCGCACAAGCGGUGGAGCAUGUGGAUUAAUUCGAUACUAACCGAAGAACCUUACCCAGGUUUGACAUCAAAGGAAAGCCCAUGAAAGUGGGCCCCCUAGCCACAAGCUAGUGCCUGAAGACACCUGUUGCAUGGCUGUCGUCAGCUCGUGCCGUGAGGUGUAUGGUUAAGUCCAUCAACGAGCGCAACCCUCGUCCAAUGUUACCAGCGAUUCAAGUCGGGGACUCAUUGGAGACCGCCGGUGUAAGCCGGAGGAAGGUGGGGAUGACGUCAAGUCAGCAUGGCGGUUACGCCUGGGGCUUCACACAUGCUACAAUGGGCGAAACAAAGGGCAGCAACAUCGCGAGAUAGAGCUAAUCCCAAAAAUACGCCCCCAGUUCAGAUAGCAGUCUGCAACUCGACUGCUUGAAAGCGGAAUCGCUAGUAAACGCAGUCAGCUAUACUGCGUUGAAUACGUUCCCGGGGA